UCCCAUCACUUUCCUUGGGAUUCAAGGAACCAGAUCCUGACUGAUCUUGGAAGCUAAGCAGAGUCAGUCCUGGUUAGUGCUUGGAUGGGAGACCACUAAGGAAGACCAGGUGCCAUAGGAU
rnacentral:rRNA from 1 species